rnacentral:rRNA from 1 species
AUUGAACGCUGGCGGAAUGCUUUACACAUGCAAGUCGAACGGCAGCACGGGGGCGGCCCUGGUGGCGAGUGGCGAACGGGUGAGUAAUACAUCGGAACGUGCCCGGUCGUGGGGGAUAACGUAGCGAAAGUUACGCUAAUACCGCAUACGAUCUGAGGAUGAAAGCGGGGGACCUUCGGGCCUCGCGCGAUCGGAGCGGCCGAUGUCAGAUUAGGUAGUUGGUGGGGUAAAGGCCUACCAAGCCGACGAUCUGUAGCUGGUCUGAGAGGACGACCAGCCACACUGGGACUGAGACACGGCCCAGACUCCUACGGGAGGCAGCAGUGGGGAAUUUUGGACAAUGGGCGCAAGCCUGAUCCAGCCAUUCCGCGUGCAGGACGAAGGCCUUCGGGUUGUAAACUGCUUUUGUACGGAACGAAAAGGCUCUGGCUAAUACCUGGGGCUCAUGACGGUACCGUAAGAAUAAGCACCGGCUAACUACGUG